rnacentral:rRNA from 1 species
UCGAGAAUUUUUCUCAAUGGGGGAAACCCUGAAGGAGCGACGCCGCGUGGAGGAUGAAGGUCUUCGGAUUGUAAACUCCUGUCAUUGGUGAACAAAGCCCUCGGAGUAACUGCCGUUGGGUUUGAUAGUAGCCGAAGAGGAAGGGACGGCUAACUCUGUGCCAGCAGCCGCGGUAAUACAGAGGUCCCAAGCGUUGUUCGGAUUCAUUGGGCGUAAAGGGUGCGUAGGCGGUGAGGUAAGUCUGGUGUGAAAUCCCGGGGCUCAACCCCGGAACUGCACUGGAUACUGCUUUACUAGAGUACUGGAGAGGGAACUGGAAUUUACGGUGUAGCAGUGAAAUGCGUAGAGAUCGUAAGGAAGACCAGUGGCGAAGGCGAGUUCCUGGACAGUUACUGACGCUGAGGCACGAAGGCCAGGGGAGCAAACGGGAUUAGAUACCCCGGUAGUCCUGGCAGUAAACGGUGCGCGUUUGGUGUGGGAGGAUUCGACCCUUCCGUGCCGGAGCUAACGCGUUAAACGCGCCGCCU